AUGUGUCUUGGCUAAGGUGUCUUGGCAAUGGUGUCUUGGCUAAUGUGUCUUGGCUAAUGUGUCUUGGCUAAUGUGUCUUGGCUAAUGUGUCUUGGCUAAUGUGUCUUGGCUAAUGUGUCUUGGCUAAGGUGUCUCGGCUAAGGUGUCUUGGCUAAUGUGUCUUGGCUAAUGUGUCUUCGCUAAGGUGUCUUGUUUAAGGUGUCUUGGCUAAUGUGUCUUGGCUAAUGUGUCUUGGCUAAUGUGUCUUGGCUAAUGUGUGUUGGCUAAUGUGUCUUGGCUAAUGUGUCUUUGCUAAGGUGUCUUGGCUAAUGUGUCUUGGCUAAUGUGUCUA